AUUACUGAGUGAGGGCCCUCUGGGUCCAACCUCCCACCCGUGUUUAUUGUACCUUGUUGCUUCGGUGCGCCCGCCUCACGGCCGCCGGGGGGCUUCUGCCCCCGGGUCCGCGCGCACCGGAGACACUAUUGAACUCUGUCUGAAGAUUGCAGUCUGAGCAUAAACUAAAUAAGUUAAAACUUUCAACAACGGAUCUCUUGGUUCCGGCAUCGAUGAAGAACGCAGCGAAAUGCGAUAACUAAUGUGAAUUGCAGAAUUCAGUGAAUCAUCGAGUCUUUGAACGCACAUUGCGCCCCCUGGUAUUCCGGGGGGCAUGCCUGUCCGAGCGUCAUUGCUGCCCUCAAGCACGGCUUGUGUGUUGGGCUCCGUCCCCCCGGGGACGGGUCCGAAAGGCAGCGGCGGCACCGAGUCCGGUCCUCGAGCGUAUGGGGCUUUGUCACCCGCUCUGUAGGCCCGGCCGGCGCCAGCCGACAACCAAUCAUCCUUUUUUCAGGUUGACCUCGGAUCAGGUAGGGAUACCCGCUGAACUUAAGCAUAUC
rnacentral:rRNA from 1 species